rnacentral:rRNA from 1 species
UACGUAGGUGGCAAGCGUUGUCCGGAAUUAUUGGGCGUAAAGCGCGCGCAGGCGGUUCUUUAAGUCUGAUGUGAAAGCCCACGGCUCAACCGUGGAGGGUCAUUGGAAACUGGGGAACUUGAGUACAGAAGAGGAAAGCGGAAUUCCACGUGUAGCGGUGAAAUGCGUAGAGAUGUGGAGGAACACCAGUGGCGAAGGCGGCUUUCUGGACGGUAACUGACGCUGAGACGCGAAAGCGUGGGGAGCAAACAGG